rnacentral:rRNA from 1 species
UCCAGUGCUUGACACAUGCUAAUCGAACGUCUAAUUUAAUUAGAAAUAAUUUAAUUAGAAGUGGUGUACAGGUGAGUAAACGAUAUUAUGGCUACCUUGGAGUAAGGGACAUUAAAAUACCUUAUAUAAUACAAAAAAUAUGUAUAAAAAGAAAUUUAUUUUCGCUCCUAGAUGGAAAUUAAUAUCUCGGGCAGGUAGUAGUUAAGGUAAUGGCUUAACUAGCUUAUGUCCGUAGUCGAGACUGAGAGGUCGAUCGAUCACAUUGGGUCUGAAAAAACCCCAAUACGUAUAGUACAGCAGUGAGGAAUAUUGGUCAAUGGCCUAACGGCUGAACCAGCAACUUGGGGGAAUGGAUAUAUAUAUUAGAUAUAAUAUAUAAUACCGACUCUGUCGGAUAAAGUUCUAGAUAGAAGAAUGAUAAUGCAAUUUUCUAUCUAUAUGUCUUGCCAAAUCUUGUGCCAGCAGUCGCGGCAACACAAGGGAGACUAGUGUUAUUCAUCUUUAUUAGGUUUAAAGGGUACCUAGACGGUAUAUCAAGCCCCAAAAGGGAACGGGUAUACUAGAGUUUUAUGUGAGAGGCAAAUAUAGUACUAUUGGUGUAGAGAUAAAAUUCAUUGAUACCUCUAGGCACGGGUAACGGCGAAGGCAAUCCUCUAUGUAAAAACUGACGUUGAGGGACGAAGGCUUGGGGAGCGAAUAGGAUUAGAUACCCUAGUAGUCCAGGCAGACAAUUAUGAAUGUCAUAGAUUAGAUUAUAAUAGUAAGAAAUAAGAAAGAGAGUAAGAUAAUUACUAAAAAAAAAGGGUUAGAUGUCUUCACCUCCCUAUUUUUUUGAUCUAUAAAUGAAAGUGUAAGCAUUCCACCUCAAGAGUAAUGCGGCAACGCAGGAACUGAAAUCAUUAGACCGUUUCUGAAACCAGUAGUGGAGU